ensembl:lncRNA
CCAGAAUACUGGAAUGUGUAGCCUUUCCCUUCUCCAGGGGAUUUUUCCAACCCAGGGGUCGAACCCAGGUCUCCCUCAUUGCAGGAGGUUUCUUUACCAGCUAAGCCACAAGGGAAGCCCAAGAAUAUUGGAGUGAGUAGCCCAUCCCUUCUCUGGGGGAUCUUCCUGACCCAGGAAUUGAACCAGGAUCUUCUGCAUUGCAGGUGGAUUCUUUACCAACUGAGCUAUGAGGGAAGCCCUGUACUUUACAAGGCCUCCAGAAAUGUUGACAGAAACUAAGUAGUGACAUACUUUGAGCUCUUCUUUUUCUUUUCCUGAUGCCAUGGGCACCCUACGACGUUUUGGAACUGAACGGCAUUAUUUUCAGAAGACCAGGUUGGUCAUCGGAGAAGGCAAUGGCACCCCACUCCAGUACUCUUGCCUGGAAAAUCCCAUGGAUGGAGGAGCCUGGUAGCCUGCAGUCCAUGGGAUCGCACAGAGUCGGACAUGACUGAAGCCACUAACAGCAGCAGCAGCAGUCCAGCAGAGGGAGCAGUGUGUCACCCAGAAAAGCCUCAGCCACCCACAUACCUGAGUAUUGGACUCUGUGAGCUUUGGUCCACGGAAUUCCAAGUAUAUCCUAUUGAAGAUGAAGGAAAACAUUGCAGACAUUACCUCCAAGAAGCUUGGCAGCUAAAUUGGUGAAAGGGCUGAGACUUCUGUAAGUUCUGAAAAAUUCUUCCAUGCAGCAUCUGGAAACUUUUGUUCUAGUUUAGUCCCUUUUCAAUACCAUCAUCAUAAUAAAAUGAAACCACCUCUAACCCAUAAUUUGUACCAUCUGGAGAUAAACAGGAACUAAGCUCUCCAUUGCAUCUAACUUUGCCCCUUCAGAGGUACUCCCCCU